rnacentral:rRNA from 1 species
CCUGGAAACAGAUGCUAAUACCGGAUAACAAUAGAUGAUGCCUAUCAACUGUUUAAAAGAUGGUUCUGCUAUCACUCUUGGAUGGACCUGCGGUGCAUUAGCUAGUUGGUAGGGUAACGGCCUACCAAGGCGAUGAUGCAUAGCCGAGUUGAGAGACUGAUCGGCCACAUUGGGACUGAGACACGGCCCAAACUCCUACGGGAGGCAGCAGCA